GGCUGGGUUCACAUGACAAGUUAUCUCUGGAGUUCAAGUUUGAGUUGAAACCAGCCUCAAGUUUCACCUGUCCUCACUGACCCGUGGAUUUCUGUGUGACCAGUGACCAAAGGACCUUGGAAAGUGCCCUGUUUUGGCUCUCUGGAGGAAAUCAGACUUUCCCUAACUACAACUGCCAGGGACAGAGAAAAUCUGUGGCCAUUGUUACAGGAACCGCGUUGGCAUUUUCAGCCGAGAUUGGAACAGUUCCGGAGCUCUACAGAAGCCCACAGGUCCCAUAUGGUCCUUUUGAUCCCAUCCUGAGUGAUAAAGACCAGUUCCCAUCGCUCUAUCAGAUGGCCACCACGGACAGCUCCCUGGCUCAAGGAAUGAUGUGGUUAUUGCUGCAUGUUGGCUGGA